AUAAAUGUGUUCUCAACGUGCACCUCCUCAGAAUGAGGCUGCUGUCUGUUCCUCAGCUGGGAGGAAAAAUGAAACCUAGCCUGUAAGCAACCUCGGGCAGGGGCUGCCGACACAAAGCUUCAGAAGUGAACACGGACGCCUCAGAAUAAUUUGGGGAACCUGAUCAGAAGAUCCAAGUACUGUGUGUGAUAAUGAAUACAGACAUGGAAGCGGGUUCUGCUGUGCAGCUGCCGAGGCCCGCCCAGCGCUGCCCAGGCUCUCCUACCUUAGCCUCCUGGCAAACCCUGGAGUUCUUCCCCCAGGGAGACCUUUUCUCGUCAGCAGCUCAGUGUCAAGGGAGCUCUUUGUGUGAAUGAGGUGAUGAGUCUAUGAAGCAAGGUGUUCUCUUUGUACAAUUAUCUGGACCCCUGGUGCAUUUGAAGGCUGAAUACCUCUGCUGUGGGGAAGAGCUGCUCUGACAGAGAAAUGGCUUUCCCUGAGAAAACGGCUCACUGCUGAAGGAGUCUCUAUUAUGAAGAGGCUUCUUGUUAAAAUAAUUAUUUGCUUCAGUGCAGGUUGAGGACAAAUAAUAAUAUAAGAACAAAUAUUAGAACAUGGGCUACAGAAGAUCCAUCUCCAAGCUUCCCAACUUUCUUUUCCAGAGAUUCGGGAACAAGAUAGAAGACCAUGCCUAUGCCUCGUCCCCCUGAUCGUCAAGUUGAAACAGUGGAGGAAUUGGAAGUUAGUUUAGCUGAAAAGAAAACUAAAAUGAAAAUUUAAAAAUUUACAAAGUAUCAGUUAUGAAAGUGACCUUUAAGAGAAGAUUGAAAAUUAGGCCAUUUACACUCAGCAUAACCAAAAGUAGACAAGACCCCUUCAUGAAUUCCUAGAGUCAUCUCUAUAAAUUAUGAUAUGUAAUGAAUAUCGUCAACAGGACGAUAAUCUGUUUGAUGUUGAUGCUGAGGCUUCUCACUGGAAAGGUCGUCUACUUGCCUGUAUGGUGUAUUAUGGUAUGAUCACAAGCUCUCCUUGUACUUCAUAUUUCAUUAGUUGAAGUGGUGAAAAUUUAAUGUAAAUGACUAAAAUAUUAUUCAACACUGAUAUCAGCCAUUGGACACUUUAUCUAUCUUGCUCAUUUUUAUCAUUUAUACAUCAGGUACUGGUUAUUUUUGAUUGUAUAUGUAUAUCAUACAAAUGUUUCCCAUAUAAAAUUAUCUUUCAUGAAGACA